GAUGAACGCUGGCGGCGUGCCUAACACAUGCAAGUCGAACGGACUUAAGACGCUGAUGAGGCUUCGGCGGAUUCUUGUUUUAAGUUAGUGGCGGACGGGUGAGUAACGCGUGGGCAACCUGCCUCAUACUGGGGGAUAGCAGUUGGAAACGACUGAUAAUACCGCAUAAGCGCACAGCGUCGCAUGACUCAGUGUGAAAAACUCCGGUGGUAUGAGAUGGGCCCGCGUCAGAUUAGCUAGUUGGUAAGGUAACGGCUUACCAAGGCGACGAUCUGUAGCCGGACUGAGAGGUCGGACGGCCACAUUGGGACUGAGACACGGCCCAAACUCCUACGGGAGGCAGCAGUGGGGGAUAUUGCACAAUGGAGGAAACUCUGAUGCAGCGACGCCGCGUGAGUGAAGAAGUAUUUCGGUAUGUAAAGCUCUAUCAGCAGGGAAGAAAG
rnacentral:rRNA from 1 species